ACAGCAGUAGCCGCGGUAAUACGUAGGGUGCAAGUGUUAAUCGGAAUUACUGGGCGUAAAGCGUGCGCAGGCGGUUUGUUAAGGCAGAUGUGAAAUCCCCGGGCUCAACCUGGGAACUGCAUUUGUGACUGGCAGGCUAGAGUAUGGCAGAGGGGGGUGGAAUUCCGCGUGUAGCAGUGAAAUGCGUAGAUAUGCGGAGGAACACCGAUGGCGAAGGCGGCCAUCUGGGACAACACUGACGCUGAGGCACGAAAGCGUGGGGAGCAAACAGGAUUAGAUACCCGAGUAGUCCCUGUCUCUUAUAC
rnacentral:rRNA from 1 species